CAGGGCUAAAUGUGGCCAACUGGACCACGGCUAAACCUGGGAUUAGGAUGUGCACAGGGCAUCAGAAGCAGAGGGCUACUGAGUGUGAUUUUUGUACAAUCCCUAAAGAGUUCAUCAGUUGAGUGAGAGAGGGCAUCAGUGGAAUCUAAGUGCAGGCAUUUGAGGCAAAUAUGGGUCACUAAUAUUUUUUAAUCUAGUACCAUAUCUAUCAGGGAGUUUUAGAGAGAGUUACAGAAAAUAUUCUCUCCAGAGGCAGAAAAGAAGACAAAUGGUUUACAUUAUUCAAAGAAAAAAAACCCAACUCAUCCUGCCCACUAUAAGAUCUCUAAAUAUACCUGCCUUACCAGCAGAGCCCAUCUUGGAGGAUGGAUCAAAUUUCUAGCAUCAAUAAUUCUGCAGAGCAGAUAAUCCUUCAGGAGAGGCAGGAUCUGUGCCUGAUGCACAGGACCCUUUCCUCCUUUAUGGAUUCAUCCCUGGCAUAGGUAUGGCAGUGGGGACAGGCCAGGGGCAGCCCUGACUGCUGCUCUGUCACUGCCUGGGCAGGCUGUGCAUUGCCAGGCAUCCCUCGAUGAUGUUUUUGUAACUCCACAACUCAGGGAAUUCAAUACAGGACUUUCAGGCUCAGCCUGGCAAAACCCAGAAGGAACACCACACUGGGCUUUCUGCGGUUUUCAUGGAACUUUGGCAGCAUUUGCCAUCCACCCUGGUGCAAGGUGAAGGCUUUCUUGGUGUUUCAUGUUUUGAAAAAAAAUGAGGGAACUGUUUUUUGGCUUUUUAGUGGCUGUUUGUUGUUUUUAAUUUGAGAAUGCAGACUCCAAGAUGAAAGUAGCAGAUAAAGGAUUAUAAAUAAGUGCCCUUCAUACUUGCAAUUAAAAUACCAGUAAGAGUGAGUGCUAGCAGGGGCGGGUUUUCUGACAGGGAUAAUCACACUGGCUGUUAAUCUUUCUGCCCCCAAACCAAAUAUCCCCUGCCUCAGUAACUGCAGUUUUGCUGCCUACCCAGCCAAAUACAUAUCCAGCACCUGUUGCAUUAAGAACAUUUAAUAUGUUGAACCUUUCCAAAUCUACCUGCAUAUUUCCCAUUUCCAGAAGGAACUAAAUCUUCACAUCAGAGAGAAGAAAAUGUUCCUUCAGAGGUAAACUGCAGCUUCUGUCCCUACCCGUACAAGGUGGGAAAAGGCACAGCCUUUACUUAUGUUUGAUGGAGCUGCAUAAUGCAUUUUGUGGUGUGAAAAGUUUCAAACCUUUCAGACCAUUUUGUAUUUAUGAUGCAGGUCUUUGCUGUACCAAAAAAAGGCAUCUGAGGUGAUGUAAAAUAAUGCCUUUCUUGUUAGACUGCAGCAGAAGCCUUCCCUACUCACUCUCUGCAGCAAUUUACUUUUAGUUUGCCAUUAGGAUAAUUUUUUUUUUUCCUCAGAAUGGAGCCCAGGAAAUUUUUCAAGGUGACACAGGAUGAUGUUACCAAAGAAAAAUUUUGUCACAUGUUUUGUAAAGGACAAUUUCUUUUGCAGCCUGAAAUACCACUUGCUUCUUGUGACAGUGUUAGUAAAUCCUGGACUGAAGAUCUCUGAAGUUAUCCUUUAACUUUUUUAGAGGACUGGGUCUCAGCUGAAACCCAACCAUUGAAAUAGCAAAUAAUUAAAACCAACCAAACAAAACCUCCUAGCUUUUGAGAUUGGUUGUUACUGUUAAUAUUUUAUUAUAGGGGGAAAACACCAUCGGUGUUUGGGAGCCAAUGGUCAAGAGAAAAAUAUUUGAAAGUAAUUAAUUUAAAAAGACUCACAGGCUCUGUAUAAGUCAGAAUUAUUGCACAGGUGUGUUUAACAGAUCCAAAUUUUACUACUCUGGCUGCAAGCACUGAAUCAAAUCCAUUUCUACCUUAAAUUGCCCCUAUUUCAGAAAAGCAAUUCAUCCCACACUCAGUAAGGGCUAAUAUUGUAAUGUAAAUAAAAGUACCCAGAGGGAGAGGAGAUAACAGAACUGGUUCCCACAGACUCCACCAGUGACACACUCAGGAAGAGCCCCAGGAAAAGGCCAGGCAGAGAGCUGCUGGCAAGAUGAGCAGCAUGAUCUCCUGCUUUACCUCUGUGAGCAGAGCAUCUUGGAGAACAAUUCUUAGUAAAUAAUUUGCUUUAUGGGUGAGGAGAGAAGCCUGGGCCUGGAAAUCUCCGGGAGGUUUCCCUCCUCCUCCUCAGCUACAGCACAAAGCUCAGAAAGUUCAUACCCACCUAAUUCCUGUGAGAAAGCACGAUCAUUUCAUGAAAACACUGCUGCAAGGACUUCUACAGGUACACACAGUUAUUUUUGUUCCUUAGAAUACUGUAACUAUUAACAAACCAAUUAUUUAAACUAACAGAGUACUUGGUUUUCUGGUGCUGUUUAUUUUAUUGUAUUCAAACAGGAAAAUGACAUUUCAAGGAUCAACACUUUAUUAUAAACUAAUACCUUUCCAAGUAACUGAGGUUCUCCUGUAAUUCCCAACCUGGCUCUCACUCUGACUGAAAGGCUGAGUUAAUUUCUCAGUGGAAAAGCAGUUGAGAGAGGGAUAGGAGAAAAAGAAAGAAACCUGAGAUAAGGCUUUAUAAACUUGAAUUCUCUUCUAAUUUGGUAAAGGCAGAUUGAGUGACAUAAUAUGAAUUUGGACAUUUCUGAAGAAAUUGUUUUGUUGAAAUCUUUGUGGAAAAGUUUUAUUUUAUGAUAGCUUACGGGGAGAGGAAGACCCAGCAUUCCAGCAGCCACACAGAGCCUGGGAGCCUCACUUCCCACGAGUCAGCAUCACCAGGGCCAGGAGAUUAAAUUUAGAAUUUAGAGUUCUGCCCUCAACAUACAGGGUCAGAUUUAAGCCCUUAGUAAAUGUGAACCUUUUCACACACUAUUAUUGAAAAAGGUCUUCUUCAAAAAUUAUCUGGAAAAAAUUAGUGCCUGUCCUACACCUUCUGGGGACAUAAUGAAAGGCUUUCAGAGAGCUUCACUUGUCUGGCAGAAUCUUUCUGAGAAACUGAAAUGUUUGCAUUCUCCGUUGAAUUGGGCCCAUGAUAGAAGACUGCUGUGAGUUAUUUUUUUGCUAUGAGGUUUUUUUGUUGUUGUUGUUGUUUUUUGUUUGUUUGUUUGUUUUUUGUUUGUUUUUUGGGGGUUUUUUUUGGUAGCUCUAUUUAUUGAUUUUAUAACUCAUCUGAAGUAAAAGGGUAAAGGGUAGAGUUCUGUGUCCCAGGAAAAUGCACUAUGAGUGACUUUCAAAUGCAGCUGAACUAAACUAUCACCAGUGUAAUAUAUGUCAGACCAUAACAAAUAUACAAUAUGAUAAACCACUGAUCAUAACUGUACAUUGCCACGUGUAAAUCACCUUCUGCAAAAUGCUCCUAUUCACAUUUUUCUUUCACCUAAUUUUCUUAAGGAUACCUUUAUGUACAACACUACUGUAAAUUACUUUUCCAGUUCAGCUUUUUAAUUACUUAGAAUAGAAAUCAGAUCUUAUUUCUAAAACAAGUCUUAUUUACAAUUGCUAACUGGGAAAACAAGAGACCAAAUUUGAUCUUUUAAUGCUAUCAGCUCAAUUUUCUGCAAUCUAAGUUAAAAAACCUGUACACUUUCAAACUGAACUGCUGCAGAAAUUCUCUGCCAAAUGCAGGAUGCUGCAGAGCAAGGUUUUGCAGCCUUCUGUCAGGUUUCUGGGAGCUGGAGCACAGUCCCUGCAGCUCCCAUGCAGCCUGGAGUGUGCUGCUUGCUGCUGGGCAGCAGCUGUACCAAGAGUGCUGUUAUAUAGAAGAUAGGUAGAGAGAUAAAUAGAGAGAGAAAGAGAAAAUGAAAAGGCUUUUUUCACUGACACACCUUAGAGCAGACCCUGAGCAGCUCUAAGUUAUGGUGUGGUGUAGCAACGACAGCACAGUCAUGCACCAGUCAGGCUGAAUUUCUACCAGUUUGAUCAAAAGUUGUAGAAGAUUUCUGUUGCACUGCACACAAGCCUCUGAUCAGCCUGCCUUGGCAGCCCCCUGGCCCUGCAGGCUCGUUUACCCCCAGAUUCAGUUUGUAGUUGGUGCACACUCCUCUCUCCAUCACAGCACUCCUGGCACCACAUCACACACGUGAAACAUGCUCACAGCUAAACUAUUGUGACUUUAACACACUUUCCCCUGUUACAACAACUUCAAUCAACAAUCAAGGUUUCUUUGUAACUUUUGUUGUUUGCAUUAUGUGGCAUUUUAAUUCAUUGUAUACUAAUUCCAGUUCUGCAUUAGUUGUAUGUUUCUGCACAGUAAUUAACUAAUCACUAUGUCACUCCCUCUCUAUUAUGAAUAACCUCAUUAAUUCCAGUCUGAAAGCUUGGUGCCUGCUGCCAUUGCUAUCAAUUUUCUUGGUUCUUUCUGCUGCUUCUUGACUUAUAAUCAAAUAUGAAACUCAUGUAUUUUUAAAUACUCUGUCUUCUGUUUCUCCCACUGAAAAAUUCAUUGUGCUAUCAAGCCCUUUAAAAUAAUGUUUAUUCAUUAUGCAUUUCUUUGCUAGGCAAUCAAGAGCUGUUACAAUAAAGUGUGUGACUUGCUCUCUCCAUGGCAGCGCUUCUGCUGUGUCAACAUCUCCAUUUUAAUCCUAAGUUUACUAGAAAUUAGAAUUUAGAUCUAAAAUUUAGCUGCAAGGUUAAAGGCACCACCAGACAUCUUCACAUGGGAGGAAAUGUCUUGAUUAUUACAAUUAAUCAUUUGGGCAUUUUUAGGUUAUAUUUGUGGGUAGGAA